rnacentral:piRNA from 1 species
UUACUCAUAAUGGCGGCGUCGUGCGAGA